GAUGAACGCUGGCGGCGUGCCUAAUACACGCAAGUCGAGCGAACGGACGAGAAGCUUGCUUCUCUGAUGUUAGCGGCGGACGGGUGAGUAACACGUGGAUAACCUACCUAUAAGACUGGGAUAACUUCGGGAAACCGGAGCUAAUACCGGAUAAUAUUUUGAACCGCAUGGUUCAAAAGUGAAAGACGGUCUUGCUGUCACUUAUAGAUGGAUCCGCGCUGCAUUAGCUAGUUGGUAAGGUAACGGCUUACCAAGGCAACGAUGCAUAGCCGACCUGAGAGGGUGAUCGGCCACACUGGAACUGAGACACGGUCCAGACUCCUACGGGAGGCAGCAGUAGGGAAUCUUCCGCAAUGGGCGAAAGCCUGACGGAGCAACGCCGCGUGAGUGAUGAAGGUCUUCGGAUCGUAAAACUCUGUUAUUAGGGAAGAACAUAUGUGUAAGUAACUGUGCACAUCUUGACGGUACCUAAUCAGAAAGCCACGGCUAACUACGUGCCAGCAGCCGCGGUAAUACGUAGGUGGCAAGCGUUAUCCGGAAUUAUUGGGCGUAAAGCGCGCGUAGGCGGUUUUUUAAGUCUGAUGUGAAAGCCCACGGCUCAACCGUGGAGGGUCAUUGGAAACUGGAAAACUUGAGUGCAGAAGAGGAAAGUGGAAUUCCAUGUGUAGCGGUGAAAUGCGCAGAGAUAUGGAGGAACACCAGUGGCGAAGGCGACUUUCUGGUCUGUAACUGACGCUGAUGUGCGAAAGCGUGGGGAUCAAACAGGAUUAGAUACCCUGGUAGUCCACGCCGUAAACGAUGAGUGCUAAGUGUUAGGGGGUUUCCGCCCCUUAGUGCUGCAGCUAACGCAUUAAGCACUCCGCCUGGGGAGUACGACCGCAAGGUUGAAACUCAAAGGAAUUGACGGGGACCCGCACAAGCGGUGGAGCAUGUGGUUUAAUUCGAAGCAACGCGAAGAGCCUUACCAAAUCUUGACAUCCUUUGACAACUCUAGAGAUAGAGCCUUCCCCUUCGGGGGGGCAAAGUGACAGGUGGUGCAUGGUUGUCGUCAGCUCGUGUCGUGAGAUGUUGGGUUAAGUCCCGCAACGAGCGCAACCCUUAAGCUUAGUUGCCAUCAUUAAGUUGGGCACUCUAAGUUGACUGCCGGUGACAAACCGGAGGAAGGUGGGGAUGACGUCAAAUCAUCAUGCCCCUUAUGAUUUGGGCUACACACGUGCUACAAUGGACAAUACAAAGGGCAGCGAAACCGCGAGGUCAAGCAAAUCCCAUAAAGUUGUUCUCAGUUCGGAUUGUAGUCUGCAACUCGACUACAUGAAGCUGGAAUCGCUAGUAAUCGUAGAUCAGCAUGCUACGGUGAAUACGUUCCCGGGUCU
rnacentral:rRNA from 1 species